GACGAACGCUGGCGGCGUGCUUAACACAUGCAAGUCGAACGCUGAACCCGCUUCGGUGGGGGAUGAGUGGCGAACGGGUGAGUAACACGUGGGCAACCUGCCCCCGGCUCUGGGAUAACUCCAAGAAAUUGGGGCUAAUACCGGAUGUGACCGCUGGCCGCAUGGUCUGGUGGUGGAAAGGGUUUCCGGCUGGGGAUGGGCCCGCGGCCUAUCAGCUUGUUGGUGGGGUAGUGGCCUACCAAGGCGACGACGGGUAGCCGGCCUGAGAGGGUGACCGGCCACACUGGGACUGAGACACGGCCCAGACUCCUACGGGAGGCAGCAGUGGGGAAUAUUGCGCAAUGGGCGGAAGCCUGACGCAGCGACGCCGCGUGGGGGAUGACGGCCUUCGGGUUGUAAACCUCUUUCAGCAGGGACGAAGCGCAAGUGACGGUACCUGCAGAAGAAGCACCGGCCAACUACGCG
rnacentral:rRNA from 1 species